rnacentral:rRNA from 1 species
GAUGAACGCUGGCGGCGUGCCUAACACAUGCAAGUCGAACGAAGCGCUUUGAAGUUUUCGGACAGAUGAGUGACUGAGUGGCGGACGGGUGAGUAACGCGUGGGUAACCUGCCUCAUACAGGGGGAUAACAGUUAGAAAUGACUGCUAAUACCGCAUAAGUGCACAGCUUCGCAUGAAGCAGUGUAAAAAAACUCCGGUGGUAUGAGAUGGACCCGCGUCUGAUUAGCUAGUUGGUGGGGUAACGGCCUACCAAGGCGACGAUCAGUAGACCGGCCUGAGAGGGUGAACGGCCACAUUGGGACUGAGACAC